GGAGGCUCUUUUUCCCCUUCAGCAAAAUCCUUUUUUCUUCCACGAUAGGAUUGGUUCAGCAUCAAAUCUAGGCUUCAGCACUGCAAUCUCCGUCUUUCUGCAAACUCAAUUAAUCCCCUCUACCACUCUUCCACCUUCAGAUUUGAGCUUGGGUUUGAAGGUAAGGAAGUAACUUAUGGCGUCAAAGCGCAUAUUGAAGGAGCUGAAGGAUUUGCAGAAGGACCCUCCCACAUCAUGCAGCGCUGGUCCUGUGGCUGAGGACAUGUUCCAUUGGCAAGCAACAAUCAUGGGGCCUACAGAUAGCCCUUAUGCAGGGGGUGUAUUCUUGGUUUCUAUUCAUUUCCCUCCUGAUUAUCCGUUCAAGCCACCUAAGGUUUCAUUUCGAACUAAGGUUUUCCACCCUAACAUCAAUAGCAAUGGAAGCAUUUGUCUGGAUAUUCUUAAAGAGCAGUGGAGUCCAGCACUGACCAUAUCUAAGGUCCUGUUGUCCAUCUGCUCUCUAUUGACAGACCCAAAUCCAGACGAUCCUCUUGUACCAGAAAUUGCUCAUAUGUACAAGACUGACAGGUCCAAAUAUGAGGCCACUGCUCGUAGCUGGACACAGAAAUAUGCUAUGGGAUAAUAGCAAAAGUGUCGCUGGGCAUGUCAGAGACUUUUGUAGCUGCACCGUCUUAAUUGUGCUUGGGUGAAAGAAUAAAAUGUGGUUGGAGCCAUCGUUGGAAAGACAAUUAUUAUUGAUACCGAUAUUGACCUGACGGCUUGAGAUGGCAACUUGCGUGGCUAGUAUGUUUCCGUCUUUGGAAUGAUAAUUGUGGUUGGAUUUUGUAAUGCUCAAGCUUGGACAAGUCUUUAUGUGAGAUGGCAAGUUGGCUGAUCAGCUUGGUUUGACGUUGGAAUUUUAGUGCUAAUAUGACUGAUACCUAGGAUGGUAAGUGAAUGCUUCCUUGCAAAGUAGGGAAAAUGCUUUUUCUAAGGCUUGACUAUGCUUUUUA